rnacentral:rRNA from 1 species
UGGGGAAUAUUGCACAAUGGGCGCAAGCCUGAUGCAGCCAUGCCGCGUGUAUGAAGAAGGCCUUCGGGUUGUAAAGUACUUUCAGCGAGGAGGAAGGCGUUGUGGUUAAUAACCGCAGCGAUUGACGUUACUCGCAGAAGAAGCACCGGCUAACUCCGUGCCAGCAGCCGCGGUAAUACGGAGGGUGCAAGCGUUAAUCGGAAUUACUGGGCGUAAAGCGCACGCAGGCGGUCUGUCAAGUCGGAUGUGAAAUCCCCGGGCUCAACCUGGGAACUACAUCCGAAACUGGCAGGCUAGAGUCUUGUAGAGGGGGGUAGAAUUCCAGGUGUAGCGGUGAAAUGCGUAGAGAUCUGGAGGAAUACCGGUGGCGAAGGCGGCCCCCUGGACAAAGACUGACGCUCAGGUGCGAAAGCGUGGGGAGCAAACA